AAUCAAAUCAAAUCAAAAGGGAAUUAGUUUCUGAUAUCUCUGUUAGGAUUUGGUUAGAUUUGUAGUUGAAUCCUAUUUAGAUAAGAAUUAAUAUUUAAAUCUGUUGAAGAUAAAUUAAGAUUUAAAUAUUAAUUAGAGGAUAAACCUAACUAGAUUAGGAUUAAUAUUUAAAUCUAUUAGAGAUUGAUUAAAAUAGAUUUAGAUAUUAAUUGGAGUAGAAAUCCUAAAUAUAUUAGGAUUGGGGUACGUUUUGGUGGAGCCUUAUAAAUAGCUCUUUGUGGGUUUGCUUUUUGAAGUGAGUACGGGAGAGAGAGAAAAGGCCUCUUGGGUGCCAUACCAGAGAGAGAAAAAGAGAGAGAGAGAGUUAUCCAAUGUGUUGAGUGCACCUAGUGCACGGGUGUGCAUGUGAAGGAUUGUCUUCUUUAUGGAUUUAUAGAAGACGAGAGAAGGGUAGAAGAGAUUCAGAAAGAGGACUCGGGUUGUAGCUACUCAGUGCAGAAGAGGAGUCAGGUGUAAUCUUCUCUUAUUUAAUGAAUCUUAUUUUACCUGCAUAUUUUUCUCUUUUAUGAUUGUAUCAGCUUUUGCUGAGUAGACGGGUUUAUGGUAAAAACCCGAUUUAACAUUUCCGUUGCGGAAUCCCAACAAUCGAUACCGGAUCCACAGCAGUCGGUAUCGGAGCGGGUUGCGGAUUCACGAGAUCCGGUACCGGGGCGAGUACCGGAUUCCCAACAAGUGGUAUCAGAGCCGAAGGUUACCGAUCUGCGGGAGAGAUCGACGGAGAUGGCCAUGAAAUUCGAAAUCGAGAAGUUCGACGGCAAAAACAAUUUCGGAUUAUGGCAAAUUAAAGUACGAGCAAUCCUCGUACAGCAAGAGUUAGACGAGACGUUGAACGGGAAGGAGGCAAAGCCGACGGAGGUCACGGAUGCGGUAUGGACGAAGAUGGAGCGGAAGGCGUUGAGUACGCUUCAUCUAUUAUUAGCAGAUGAGGUUCUUUACAACGUAGCAAGCGAGACGACACCGGCGAAGUUGUGGAAGAAACUGGAAGAUCUAUAUAUGACCAAAUCCUUGACGAACAGAUUGUAUCUGAAGCAACGACUGUUUACGCUGCGGAUGCAGGAAGCGGCAAGCCUACAUGAUCAUCUGAACGAGUUCAACAAGGUGGUGGCCCAGUUGACUAGCAUCGGAGUCAAUCUGGAUGACGAAGACAAGGCGUUGAUCCUACUAUCUUCGCUACCGACGACAUAUGAGCAUCUGGUGACCACGUUGCUUUAUGGCAAGGAGUCCAUAAGCGUGGAGGCGGUCACGGCGGCGCUUCUCUCGAACGAGAUGCGGAAGAUGACUCAGGAGUUCGGCACGCAAAGUCAGGAUGUAGGACUGGUGGUGACUGCGAAGAAGGAGGCGAGAAUAUCGGCGACCGGAUAUCGACAGAAGAAACGGCUAUCUGAGGUAGAAUGUUUUUACUGUCACAGGAAAGGGCAUAUCAAGCGCAAUUGUUGAAAACUUCAGAAUGAUCUGAAGGAGUUAAAGCGACAGAAGGAGCAAACUGUCGUGAACCAGGACGAGACGGUAUCAGCGACGGCGCAGACAGCAGAGUCGGAGAUGAUCGAUUCUGAUGUGUUGUAUGCGGCGACCGGAGGUGCGAAAAUUUCGGACGAUGCGUGGGUGCUCGAUUCGGCGUGUUCUUUUCACGUAUGCCCGGAGAAGGAGUCUUUUGCAACCUAUAAGGCGAUCAAAGGUGGAAAAGCUCUAAUGGGGAACGGGACGACGUGCAAAGUUUUGGGAGUCGGCACGGUGAAGAUCCGAAUGCACGAUGGGGUCAUGAGGACGCUGACAGGUGUGCGGCAUGUUCCUGGAUUGAAGCGGAAUUUGAUCUCGUUAGGCGCAGUGGACUCGAAGGGUUGCGAUAUUUCGGCUUCAGGUGGAGCUAUGAGGGUCCGAAAACGAGAUCGGGUCGUGUGCGAGGCGAACAAGCGUGGGAACUUGUACGUUCUGAACGGGAGUACAGUCAGAACGGGAGCGAAGACGGUUUGGGUUCCAAAAGUUCGCGGAUGUGCAGUUGCUCGAGACGGAGCGACGGAUGCGGCGACAUCGAGUGGAGGAGACAAGCUCAAGGUGGAGCUUGCAUGGUGAGCUUGACGUAGCGGUUGAAAAUUACAAAUCAAACCAAGGUGGAGAAUGUUAGGAUUUGGUUAGAUUUGUAAUUGAAUCCUAUUUAGAUAAGAAUUAAUAUUUAAAUCUGUUGAAGAUAAAUUAAGAUUUAAAUAUUAAUUAGAGGAUAAACCUAACUAGAUUAGGAUUAAUAUUUAAAUCUAUUAGAGAUUGAUUAAAAUAGAUUUAGAUAUUAAUUGGAGUAGAAAUCCUAAAUAUAUUAGGAUUGGGGUACGUUUUGGUGGAGCCUUAUAAAUAGCUCUUUGUGGGUUUGCUUUUUGAAGUGAGUACGGGAGAGAGAGAAAAGGCCUCUUGGGUG
rnacentral:lncRNA from 1 species